rnacentral:tRNA from 1 species
GGAGCCGUCGUUCAGCGGUCUAGGACACUGGCCUGUCACGCCAGAGAUCGGGGGUUCGAAUCCCCUCGGCUCCGCCA